rnacentral:tRNA from 2 species
AGGUUGGUCGCUCAAUGAUGGGAAGCGCGUGGUCUCGAACCGCGGAUCCGAGGGUUCGAAUCCCUACCAAUUCG